ensembl:lncRNA
GAAGCAUUUACUCAGAACAUCGCACACCUGUUAAUCCUCAGCGGCAAAAAAAAAGAAAAAGAAAAAGAAGAAGUUGCAUGUAAGUUACUUAACACAGAAAAGGCACAGCAGGAGCUCAUACAGUCAGAGGAAGCAAGUGUUUGGCUUCAUGUGCUCGGAUGAAACACAAUGGCAACUUCCUGUUUUCUUUCUACUCGAAAGAACUUCCCACAACAUCAGAUGCACGUAUAGUCACCAAUAAUAAAUAAAGAAGAAGAAGUGAAGUCUAGCCUUCACAAUGAGGAGCUUUGACUGACAACAGUAGGCAUGUACUAUUCACAGAGGAGUUGUUUAUACAUUCAAUGAAAGAUUAAAGGACUAUGAAGGAGGACAUAUAAUAACGUCAGCUUCUACUGACAGCAAAGCUUGAAGACCCCAGUGGAUUGUUUUACCUGUUUUUUUUUUUUUAUUAUUAUUAUUAUUAUUAUUAUUUAAAGCUUUGCGUUUAGAUAUUUAUUGCACAGUUUAGAUGAGAGAGGUGUAUCUAUGAAGUGUGAGUGUGCAGCGAUGGAGAAGCUCGGAGAAGAUGGCUUUGAGAGAUGUGAACAGUUUGGGGACUGGUCCAGCUCUGAACACUGGGAUGAGGAUCACAGGGACAGCAGUGGCUUUGGGGACUGGGCUAGUUUUAAAGACGGACUCAGUGAAGAGAGUGAUUCUGCAGACUUAUUGUCUCAGGAAGGACAGACUUCUGGCCAUGAACACAAGGUAGAGAGAGGUGAUGAGCCCUGGAUUGUGAUCCAUGAUUGCUUUCAUGUUGAGGAGAUUGUGAGAGAUACAGACAUGAUGGAAUUUCUGCCACUGUCACAGCUACUGCACAAUUCCACACACACCCCUCCUCCUCCAGCAGUACUAUUAAGAAAGGGUGCUAGCUUUUACCACAGUUUGCUGUGUGAGCCGAAGUCUUCAAGCGUAACGAGUCCUAAACCCAAUUUGCAUUCCCACAAGCAGCUCACUGAUGCACUACAGCUCAAACAAUCCAAUACUUCACAGAACACGGAUUUACUUCACCUUGGGUUUGAGAAGCCUCAAAGUUCCUCUGCUGCUCUCAUCCAAACUAAGCUAACAGCACCCACGUGGUGUCAGACUUCUCCUGGAUUCUUCUACCAGAUCUCUCACCGAUGGCUCAGCCAGAACAGUUUGAGACUACAGAAUAAUCAGGACAACAAAAAAGACCUGCUGGACAUCUCAAAAAAUUAGAAUAUCGUGGAAAAGCAGGUCCGGACUGGCCAUCGGGAGCACCAGGAGAAUUCCCAGUGGCCUGACAACUGAUUUGGCCUGCUGCCCUGCUGUUUUUUUAUUUUUAAUUUAUUUUAUAUUAUUGCAUGUCCUAUGUACUUGAGUUUUGGACUUUGGCAUUUGAUAAUAAAUCGAAAUAAAUCACUACCAUUCUCCUCAGCUCCGGUGAACAGUUUUGAACAGAGUGCUCAAUGCACAGAGCGAGGAUGGAGAGGAAAGGGCCAGGUGGAGCAGAAAGAAAGCCCUCUGAAAAGAAGCAGCAAAAAUGUAACAAAAUUACUGACCUGUUCAGGGCUUCAAGUGCAGGUCAGUCUCCUCUGUAAAUAUUGUAGCUUUGUG